rnacentral:rRNA from 1 species
ACGGAAGGCAGCAGUGAGGAAUAUUGGUCAAUGGGCGAGAGCCUGAACCAGCCAAGUAGCGUGAAGGAUGACUGCCCUAUGGGUUGUAAACUUCUUUUGUUCGGGAAUAAAGGAGCCUACGCGUAGGCUUUUGCAUGUACCGUUCGAAUAAGCAUCGGCUAAUUCCGUGCCAGCAGCCGCGGUAAUACGGAAGAUGCGAGCGUUAUCCGGAUUUAUUGGGUUUAAAGGGAGCGUAGGCGGCCUUUUAAGUCAGCGGUCAAAUGUCAGCGCCCAACGCUGGCCUGCCGUUGAUACUGAUGGGCUUGAAUACACACAAGGAAGGUGGAAUUCGUCGUGUAGCGGUGAAAUGCUUAGAUAUGACGAAGAACUCCGAUUGCGAGGGCAGCCUUCUGGGGUGCGAUUGACGCUGAGGCUCGAAAGUGCGGGUAUCAAACAGGAUUAGAUACCUUGGUA